GUGCCAGCCGCCGCGGUAAUACGUAGGGUGCGAGCGUUGUCCGGAAUUAUUGGGCGUAAAGAGCUCGUAGGCGGUUUGUCGCGUCGGCCGUGAAAACUUGGGGCUUAACCCCGAGCCUGCGGUCGAUACGGGCAGACUUGAGUUCGGCAGGGGAGACUGGAAUUCCUGGUGUAGCGGUGAAAUGCGCAGAUAUCAGGAGGAACACCGGUGGCGAAGGCGGGUCUCUGGGCCGAUACUGACGCUGAGGAGCGAAAGCGUGGGGAGCGAACAGGAUUAGAAACCCUCGUAGUCC
rnacentral:rRNA from 1 species